CUUUGAUGUACUUGGAAGUGGGCCACUUGUAAGAUUGGUUUGCACAUUGGAGUUAGAUUGAUUCUUGCUUGUAUUAGAUGCAUACUUCUCAAAAAACAUGUACAAGUUUGACUUCACAUGUGCUACUUUUUCAUCAGCAGUACCAACACCAAUUCCUGAAUAGCAACAUCUCAACAUUUACAACUUCAUCAGUGGGUCCAAAACUGCUCCCAUAGCAAGUGUGACACUAUAAUCAUUCCAAUAUUUUUCAAACUUCACAAUCAUUUUCUCACUCAUCCCCCUUAUGACUUCAUCUUCAUCUUUUGCAGUUUGAAGUAGAACACAUUGAAUUUUUUUUGACUUGCAUGAAAUACAAGUUAGACGUUGGGUAUGAUGUACCAGAAAUCAAGUCAGUAAUCUAAAAGAAUGGACACAAGAAAUCACAAAUUCGUUGUGCUCUUGUCCAUUCUUCUUCCGAAAGACAAUUUCGGUAAUUAGAAACAUAUAUUGGAAAAUUACUAAAAGCGUGUUUGUAUUUUAGAGCACUUUCAAGUAAUAUAUAAGUUGAAUUCCAUCUUAUUGGCACAUCGAGUUUUAACUCAAUGGAAGUGUCAAUAAGACCACUCGACUCUAUAGUACAUUUUUUGAAGGCGAUUAUCAUCCUCAACAAGUUUAUUCCUCAAUAUUUCCAGCGAUGUGUCAUUUGAACUAGCAUUAUCCAAGAGUUAGAGAGAAAAUUUUCUUAUCAAUUUUCCACUCUUUCAAAAACUGUAAUAUUGUUGCACACAUUUCAAAGGCAGUAUGAGAAGAAGGCAUGUGGCAGAAGUUGAAAAUUUUACUAUUUAACUUCCAAUCUAACUCAAUAUGGUGAGCUGUCAAACAUAAAUAGCCCUUAGUUGUACAAGUUGUUCACAUAUCAGAAGUUAAGCAUAUCCUAUUAAGAAUACUAGCUAAUGUCUGUCGAAGCUUCUCAUUCUCAUGCUUGUAAACUUUUAAUACAUCAGUCUUUGCAGUAUUUCUACUAAUAUAAGCAUAAUCUGGAUUCAAGUACUUCAACCAAGCUCUAAUCUUUCUGUAGUCAACGAAUUUAAAUGGAAAAUCAUGUUCAAUUAUUGCAGCAACACACAUGUCACGAGAUACCAAUUGAUCUAUAGUGUGAGAGUGAGACUUCAAUUUUUCUUGUCUAUCUAUCAUCAUUUGACCCACAUCUUCAAACUUAGUUUUUGAACAAUCAUCUAAGUGAUGAGUCAUAGAAUGUGUCCCAUAUUUAUUCCCACCAGCUUUGUACUAUGCAUUACAAGCAUUGCACUCAACCCUCUUAACCCCAUUAGGCAACUCUUUUAAAAUUGUGAAGAAAUUCCAACAUAUAGCUCUUGUUGCUCUUGGCCUUUUUUUAGUUGUACUAGAAUUAGAAGAAGGGUGCACAUCAUUAUCAAUAACAUUCACAUCACUAGGGUCACUUGUUUGAGUUGUUCCAGGCACACCAAUAUCUACUACAAUAAGUCAAUAAUUGCUACCACAUGAACAACCAAGUUGUAACAGUUAGAUUAACUAGAUAUAUAAGCAAUAAUUUUAAAGGGAAUGGAGUAUCUCCUGGUAUAAGGAGAUAAGUUAUCUCCUCCUGCUAGUGAAAUCAUGACAUGUGUCAUGUUUCAUCAUUUUCUAUAAAAAUAUUUUUAAAAAUAAACAAAAUAGCACACAUGUCACAUUUUUACUGGCUAGAGGAGAUAAGUUAUCUCCUGAUAUAAGGAGAUACAUUAUUCUCUAAUUUUAAAACCAUACUCUUUUAAAAUGACACCACAUCAUUUUUUAAACACAAUCACUUCGAUGAUUUUGAUAUAUUGUACCUGGCUUCAUGUUAAAUACAGUUCAUAAUCUUUUUUGUUUUGUUCUCCUUAUGUCACCGAUGUAAAGUUAAAAAAUAUAACAUUAUUUUGCUAGAUUGUCAUGCAACAUAAUUUAAGCUCAUCUAACACUUAAAUUUUGUGUUCAUACUGAUUUUUUAAGCCCAUGUUUCCUAUUUUCUAAUACCUUCCUAAUUUGCAUUGACAAAGCUAAUCUUUACUAUAACUUACAUAUUAGUGGCCACUAUGACAUUUAAGUUUUAGCCACAUGAUUUUAGAGAUGUCAGCUUGUUAUAGUAAAAGCAACAUACAACAAAAGUGGUUUGAUGUUUCCUAUUAUCUUAAUAGAAGAAACAAAAGAGGGAAAAGAAAAAUUAGACCAAUCUUCCAUUCACCUUUAUUACAUAAAUGAAAAUCAUGCACAAGAAAAAAGUCAAGCUUCUGUUUGUACUAAUGGACACAAUAGAGAACACUUCAGUUCCUAUUUUCUUAUACACAUGUAAUAGUAUGUAAUAUUUUAUUUUAAACUUCAUCGAUCAACUAAGCAUAAAUUGAAGAAUAUAUUGGGGAAAUUGAAGAAAAAACAUUAAUUUAGGGGGAAUUAAAUUAGGGUAAAAUUGAUUUGGGAAAAACUAAAUUAUGGAAAUUGAAUUGGGGAAAAUCAAACCUGCAUCCACUUGUCGUGAUCGUUGUCUUCGUUGGAUGAGAUCACAAUCGCCAUCAUUGUGGGUAGUUGAUGGUUUAUCCUCGUUGUGGCUGUGAGAUCUGGUUGUCAUGGUGGAGAAUGAGAGUUGGAGGAAGAAGAAGUAAAAACAAAUAUGGAAAGUGUUGAGCUGAGAAUUGAUGAGUGUUGAAUGUUAAAGCUUCAAGCAUUGAAGAAUGAAGAUGGAAGUGAAAUAUGAAUGGAAGUGGAAAUGAAAUAGAGAAUGAAUGGAAUUGGGUAAAUGAAGAUUGAAGAGUGAAGACGUAAC
rnacentral:lncRNA from 1 species